UGCAAGUCGAACGAUGAAGAAAAGAAUUGAAGCUUCGGCAGAAAUUCAUUUCGGAUUAGUGGCAGACGGGUGAGUAACGCGUGAGCAACCUACCUCUUACAAAGGGAUAGCCUCGGGAAACCGGGAUUAAUACCAUAUAACAUUGCGACGAAGCAUUUCGAUGCAAUCAAAGCUACGGCGGUAAGAGAUGGGCUCGCGUCCCAUUAACCAGAUGGUGAGGUAACGGCUCACCAUAGUAACGAUGGGUAACCGGCCUGAGAGGGUGAACGGUCACACUGGAACUGAGACACGGUCCAGACUCCUACGGGAGGCAGCAGUGGGGAAUAUUGCACAAUGGAGGGAACUCUGAUGCAGCGACGCCGCGUGAGUGAUGAAGGAAUUCGUUUCGUAAAACUCUGUUCUAUGGGAAGAAAAGGACUGUACCAUAGGAGAAAGCUCCGGCUAAAUACGUGCCAGCAGCCGCGGUAAUACGUAUGGAGCGAGCGUUGUCCGGAAUUAUUGGGCGUAAAGGGUGCGCAGGCGGCUUUACAAGUUGGAUGUGAAAUAUUGUGGCUCAACCACAAACGUGCAUCCAAAACUGCAAAGCUUGAGUUAAGGAGAGGUAAGUGGAAUUCCUGGUGUAGCGGUGGAAUGCGUAGAUAUCAGGAGGAAUACCGGUGGCGAAGGCGACUUACUGGACUUAAACUGACGCUCAGGCACGAAAGCGUGGGGAGCAAACAGGAUUAGAUACCCUGGUAGUCCACGCCGUAAACGAUGAGUGCUAGGUGUUGGGGGUCAAACCUCGGUGCCGCAAGCAAACGCAAUAAGCACUCCGCCUGGGGAGUACGUGCACAAGCAUGAAACUCAAAGGAAUUGACGGGGACCCGCACAAGC
rnacentral:rRNA from 1 species